UGCUGGAGCUUUUAAUAACUUUGGUUGCAAUGGAGGGUUGCCUUCUCAAGCAUUUGAGUACAUUAAAUUCAAUGGUGGUCUUGACACUGAAGAAGCAUAUCCAUACACCGGCAAGAAUGGCAUAUGUAAAUUCUCACAAGCAAAUAUUGGUGUCAAAGUCAUCAGUUCUGUCAAUAUUACCCUGGGUGCUGAAUAUGAACUGAAAUACGCAGUUGCAUUGGUUAGGCCUGUUAGUGUUGCUUUUGAGGUGGUAAAAGGGUUCAAACAGUACAAGAGCGGAGUUUACGCCAGCACUGAAUGUGGCGACACUCCCAUGGACGUAAACCAUGCUGUUCUUGCUGUGGGUUACGGUGUUGAAAAUGGUACUCCCUACUGGCUCAUAAAGAACUCAUGGGGAGCAGAUUGGGGUGAGGAUGGAUACUUCAAAAUGGAGAUGGGAAAGAAUAUGUGUGGUGUUGCAACUUGUGCAUCCUACCCAAUCGUUGCCUAAGCUUUGGAGUUUUGUGAAAAAAAUCUGCAUAAAUCCGUGUUGUCCCAGUUAAUGAUUCAGCAGCAGCAUUCAGGCUCCAUUCUCAGAUUUAUAUUCUGAACAUGUAUGGAUUGUUAUACAUAUAAAAAUGGUUUAGGCUACUUAUAUGAAAGAAACAAUAAGAUCAAAAUAUUUAGUUCACAGAGUUUAUUAUGCAGGAAAAAACCCUAUGUAAUUUAUACCAUUAUAAGUAAUGAAAUGGAAGAAGAAUUUCUUAUUGUAAACAUUGUUAAUAAGGUGUUGUCCUUAGUUCGUGUCUUUUUGUCAAAAUUGUUAAUG
rnacentral:misc_RNA from 1 species